rnacentral:rRNA from 1 species
UACGUAGGGUGCAAGCGUUGUCCGGAAUUAUUGGGCGUAAAGAGCUCGUAGGCGGUCUGUCGCGUCUGCUGUGAAAUCUCAGGGCUUAACCCUGAGCUUGCAGUGGGUACGGGCAGACUAGAGUGCCGGUAGGGGAGACUGGAAUUCCUGGUGUAGCGGUGAAAUGCGUAGAUAUCGUAAGGAAGACCAGUGGCGAAGGCGGGU